AUAAGGGUAAACCCGUCUCUGUGGCAAAAGAGUGGGAAGACCUUGCAGUAGUGGUGAAAAGCCAAACGAGCCUAGUGAUAGCUGGUUGCUCAACAAACGAAUUUUAGUUCGACUUUAAGCUACAACCCUAAACUAAAAAUCCCAUACAGCCUAAAGACUACUCAACGAAGGUACACCUCCAUUGAGAAGGGAUACAACCCAAUUUGGAGAGAAAGAAACACCAUCUAACCAGUAGGCCUUAAAGCCGCCACCAAUAACAAAAGCGUCACAGCACAAAACAACAAAUACCUAAAACACAGACGAUCUCCCAACAACCCAUUGAGCCAAACUAUGUUUAUAGAUGAACUUAUGCUAAAACUAGUAACCAGAAAUACUCUCUCAGCACACCUGUAACCCAGAAAUAGAAAAACUGCUGGAACUUAACAGACCAAAACAGGCAUAACACAGCAUGUACUACCCACUGUUAAACCAACACAGGAGUGCCACCAAGACAGAUUAAAAGUCAUAAAAGGAACUCAGCAAAACUUGUCCCAACUGUUUACCAAAAACAUAGCCUUUAGCUAACACAAGUAUUAAAGGUCCCGCCUGCCCAGUG
rnacentral:rRNA from 1 species